AUGCAGAAGCUCCUGGGCCAGGGAUCAAACCUGAGCCACAGCAAUGAAAAUGUCAGAUCUUUAACCCACUGAGCCACCAGGAAACUCCCCACUUAAUCUUUCACAAUAGAAUAUAAAAUGUUGGUGAGGAAAUUAGAGAAUUAGAUGAGUGGCCCUUUCCCCCUGUCUUUGGAGAGCAGCUUCAAGGCGGGACAAAGGAAGUGACUGUACUUUUUUUUUUUUUUUUUUUUUUUUAAGGGCCACACCAGAGGCAUAUGGAAGUUCCUUGCUAGGGGUUGCAUUGGAGCUGGAGCUGCCGGCCUACACCACAGCCACAGCAAUGCCAGGUGCAAGCUGCUUCUGCAACCUAUACCACAGGUCACAGCAACGCCGAUCCUUAACCCACUGAGGGAGGCCAGGGUUUGAACCUGCAUCCUCAUGGCUACUAGUUGAGUCUAUUACCACUGAGCCACAACAGGAACUCCCAGAAGUGAUGAGAUCUUAAAGGCUGAGUCUCUUUCCUGGGUCUAUAGGGAUAAAGAGAAGGAUUAGAGAGGUGACCAGAAAGAAAAGUUAAACCAUUCCUUGAAACCUGAUGUGACAUAAGAAAUAAAACUGAAAAAACUUUAAAAGUCAAGGAGAAUGGCUAGGGAAUCCUUUAGUGAGAUACUUUAGAGCAUAGAGGACUGGAGUGAAGUGAGAAAAUUUUUGCAAAAUAUAUGCAUGCAAUUGGAGUUCCUUGACACUUAUGGCCCCAGGGAGAUUGCAGCACAAUUAAGGCCUGCUUGAUUUUCAGCAAUAAAGUCAGCUCUCUUUUUUUUUUUCACAAAAAGAAAAGACUUUGUGGGGAUAGUAAUUGCUGGAAUGAAAAAUUCCAACUUGACAUCUGUUCCAGAUUCACCUGCAGCUGUUGCUUACCUGUGUAGAGGCAGCUGGUGACCUGGCAAAACGCAAGAUGUAGGAGAAAAGGAGCUAGGAAAAACUGACUCCUUCCUUGCUACCAUCCUCUCACCACAGGCUGAGUUUUACAAAGGCCACACAAUCAUUCUCUCUACAACAAUACCCUCAAUUUUGGCUGCAUGUUGCAAUCACUACAAUUGCCUGGGAGCUUUAAAAAUCAUGACAUCCUGGGGUUCCCUCAUUACACAAUAGGUUAAGGAUCUGUCGUUGUCAUUGCAGCAGCUCGGGUUGCUGCUGUGGCAUGGUUUUGAUCCCUGGCCCUGGGAACUUCCACAUGCUGCAGCCUAAAAUUAAUUAAUUAAUUAAUAUUUUCAAAAAUCAUGAGGUCCAAUCUACUCCCUAGACCUCUAAGAAUCUCUAAGAGUGAGAACCAAGAAUUAAUAGUUGGUAAAGCUCCCACAGUGAUUGCAAUGUUAGUUAAGACUGGGAACCAUUGCCUAGAAGCUGCUUUAUUGCUGGUAGAAGUUAGAAAGAAUGGAAAACAAAGAUAAAAAAACAUAAGCAUCUGAGAAAAGAUAUGGGGGGGGCAGAACAGAAAGAAGGGGUUGCAUUUGUAAAGAUUUUAGCAUCAUGUAGAAGAUACAUAUUCUUGGAAGAACACUGGAAUAACCAUUUGGGGAAAAUAGAGGGAAAAAAGGUCUCACAAUUGGAGGAAACCAAGAUGUGUUUCAAGUUUGGAUGGAAACAGUCUUUGGGAUGUAUGAAUCCAGCCUCUAGGCUCAUAGCUAUAGCAAGGGGUACUCAGUGAGCACAUUUCUUUGGAAAGAAUUUCAUAUUAUCAAUUUAACAUCUUCAUGAAUUAUACCCAUGUUUCCAGUUCUGCCCUUUAAAAAAAUUCAGGGUAAUUCUAAAUCUCUUCUAUCCAAUUGCCCCUUGAACAAAAGACAGCUAUCUCCCACCCACACUCACAUACUCCAUGAUAUUAAAACAUCAACUUUUUAAAAAGCCCUUCAUAUCCAUUGUUACUUGGUCCCCACCACGCCCCUGCAAACUUAGCAUUACUUUAUAUUUUCCACUUUGCAGGUCAUAUAUGUGAUGUUCAGAGAAGUUAAUACGUGACCAAAAUCAAGUAAAUGAGUGUCAGAGUCAUGACUUGAACCCAGGCCUUCUGACUCUAAAUGUGUGCCCUCUCCACCCUAUUUGUUAUGGACUCUGGCCUUUGAUUGGUGCAUCUAAGAUGACUUUAGGGGUUCUUUCCUUUAUUUAAGAAGUUAUUUUAUUUUUUUUCUUUUUAGAGCCACAUCUGCAGCAUAUGGAAGUUCCUGGGCCAGGGGUUAAAUCAGGGCUGCAGCUGUGCAGCUGCAGCAACACCAUAGCCACAGCAGAUCCAAGUCACAUCUGCAACCUAGGCUGAAGCUCAUGGCAACGCUAGAUCCUUAAGCCACUGAGCGAGGCCUGGGAUCAAAUUGAAUCCUCAUGGAGACUGUGUCGGCUUCUUAACCCACUGAGCCAAAACAGGAAUUACUUUUUUUUUUAAUUAAAAAAAAUUUUUUUAAGGUUUUUUUCCCCUGGUAACCACCCUUUUACUUUCUGUCUCUGUGAAUUGAAUGCUUCUAGGUACCUCAUAUAAAAGGAGUCUUACUGUAUUUGUUCUUUGGUUUCUGGCUUGCUUCACCUGGCAUGAUGUGAGAUUCAUCGAUGUUGUAGCAAGUGUCAGAAUUUGCUUCCUUUUUAGGACCAAAUAGCAUUCCACUGUGUGUAUACAUUACACUUUGUUUGUCCAUUCAUCUGUCAAUGGGCAUUUGGAUCGCUUCUGCCUUUGGCUAUUGAGAAUAAUGCUGCCAUGAACAUAGUGUGCAUAUACACAAGUGUCUCUGAGAUCUUGCUUUCAGUUCUUUGGAGAUCUGUCCAAUGGAAUUGCUGGGACAUAUGGUAAUCUUAUUUUUAGCUUUUUCAAGGAACAGUACUGUUUCCAUUAGCUUUUUUUUUUUUUUUUUUGGCUGCACCCACAGCAUGGAGAAGUUCCCCAGUCAGGGACUGAACCCCAGCCACAGUGACCUGAGCUGCUGCAAGGAUCC
rnacentral:lncRNA from 1 species